CCUACGGGAGGGAGCAGUGGGGAAUUUUGGACAAUGGGCGAAAGCCUGAUCCAGCCAUGACGCGUGCAGGAUGAAGGCCUUCGGGUUGUAAACCGAUUUUGUACGGAACGAAAAGGUUUGGCUUAAUAAGCUGAGCUCAUGACGUACCG
rnacentral:rRNA from 1 species